rnacentral:tRNA from 1 species
GGAGAGGUACGAAAGUGGCUUAAUCGACUUGCUUGGAAAGCAAGCGUACCGCAAGGUACCGUGGGUUCGAAUCCCACCCUCUCCG